rnacentral:tRNA from 1 species
GGGAGUAUAGCUCAGUUGGUAGAGCGUCGUCCUUGCACGGCGAAUGUCAGCGGUUCGAACCCGCUUACUUCCA